rnacentral:rRNA from 1 species
UACGGGAGGCAGCAGUGGGGAAUAUUGCACAAUGGGCGCAAGCCUGAUGCAGCCAUGCCGCGUGUAUGAAGAAGGCCUUCGGGUUGUAAAGUACUUUCAGUCGUGAGGAAGGUGUUAAGGUUAAUAACCUUAGCAAUUGACGUUAGCGACAGAAGAAGCACCGGCUAACUCCGUGCCAGCAGCCGCGGUAAUACGGAGGGUGCGAGCGUUAAUCGGAAUUACUGGGCGUAAAGGGCACGCAGGCGGUUAUAAUUGGAUGUGAAAUCCCCGGGCUUAACCUGGGAAUGGCAUUCAAGACUGGUUAGCUAGAGUCUUGUAGAGGGGGUAGAAUUCCAUGUGUAGCGGUGAAAUGCGUAGAGAUGUGGAGGAAUACCGGUGGCGAAGGCGGCCCCUGGACAAAGACUGACGCUCAUGUGCGAAAGCGUGGGGAGCAAACAGGGAUUAGAUACC